rnacentral:rRNA from 1 species
CGCCGCCGAAAUGCAGGGGCGGUCGCCUCGCGGCAACCAUUACGCAGUAGUAACACCUCGUAACUGGGACGCGGAGCGGCCACGCCUAACCAACUCGUUUCCUUCUCAGAGUUGACCUCGGAUCAGGUAGGGAUACCCGCUGAACUUAAGCAUAUCAAUAAGCGGAGGAAAAGAAACCAACAGGGAUUGCCUCAGUAACGGCGAGUGAAGCGGCAACAGCUCAAAUUUGAAAUCUGGCCCCCCGGGUCCGAGUUGUAAUUUGUAGAGGAUGCUUCUGGCGCGGUGCCUUCCGAGUUCCCUGGAACGGGACGCCAUAGAGGGUGAGAGCCCCGUCUGGUUGGACGCCUAGCCUCUGUGAAGCUCCUUCGACGAGUCGAGUAGUUUGGGAAUGCUGCUCUAAAUGGGAGGUAUAUGUCUUCUAAAGCUAAAUACCGGCCAGAGACCGAUAGCGCACAAGUAGAGUGAUCGAAAGAUGAAAAGCACUUUGAAAAGAGGGUUAAAUAGUAUGUGAAAUUGUUGAAAGGGAAGCGCUCAUGACCAGACUUGGGCCUGGCGGAUCAUCCGGCGUUCUCGCCGGUGCACUUCGCCGGUCCAGGCCAGCAUCAGUUCGCCUCGGGGGACAAAGGCUUCGGGAACGUGGCUCCUCCGGGAGUGUUAUAGCCCGUUGCUGC